rnacentral:lncRNA from 1 species
UUUUCUCCUAAAGCAUCUAUCCCAAAGUAACACCUGUUAAUUCAUCUCACAUUUUAUUGACAAAAAUGUCGCAAGGCUGAGCUUCAACUUCAAAGAGGAUAAGGAAGGGCAAUCCUACCACAUGCCUGGAAGGAAAGAACUGGAUUAUUUACAAACAGUCCUCAUGACUAACAUACCCAACUGCAUAGGGUUUCUAUGAGGAUUAAGUGGGAUAAAGAACGUGAGGUAUUUGGUACAACUUGAAUUAUUGAACAUGUUCAAUAAAUCAUACCCAUAGUUUGUGUAAUGGCAAGGCAUUUUCCUGGCUAUUUCCAAUACUGCACAUGAGUUCUUGAGGUUCCUACUAUCCUCCCCUAGGGAGUCUGAAGUCAGAGGCUUAAACUGUAGGAUUGUUAGCUUUCUCAAGCUUGGGUACCAUUUAGAAAGCUCUGUCAUCUCACUGAGACUCAGAAAAUGCACAGUGGAGAUUGAUUCCUGGCAUGGAAAGCUGGAGAAAGUAGGCCAGACACAGCUUUUAUAGAGACCUAGAAUUUAAAUCUUUAUUUUUCAUUUUGGACACUGACUUAGCAUUAUCACAGGGAGACCUUUGGGUACCAGGCAUUAGCUAUUUAAGCAAAAUAAGUUGACAGACUUACAGGAAGUUGACUUAGCCUUGAGAGCGAAAGAGAGAGAAACGUCAAAAGAUGUCCACAUGCAAAUAAUGAUGUUCCUGUGACAGUGUCUCNNNNNNNNNNNNNNNNNNNNNNNNAACAGAAUAACGUUUCUGCAUUAGUGACUUCUUCCCAAUCUGUCCUUUACCCUAGUUUGGUGACUUGUUGACCUUCUGAAAAGCUUUGGGUAGGCAAGUAUGUUUCCAACAUCAACUCCACCAUUAAAUACUGUUGUGAUCUUUGAGCAAGUUACCUGAAGUGUGAAAGUCUUAAGUCCUCGCCUGCCCAAAUGGAGAUGAAAAGAUCUAAUUCACUGUGGUUUGGGAAAACUUUAAAGACAAUAUGAAUGCAUCUUGUGGCUUGAUUUCUAGGCUGGACUGGACACAAAUGUUACUCCUUCUUGCUGUGGCCAGCUGCCUAGGUUCACUCAGAAGAAUUUAACAAUCAUGUCCCUUCCAACGUCUUGUUUCUCUCUUCUCUUUUUUUCUCAUUAUGUUCAUUCCUAAUGUCAGUGGUUUAUGAGUCCUAAAGAGAGGAUGGAUUGGGAUCUAGGUUUUGUUCAUCUCACUUUUUCAUGUAAAAGAGUUAAUUCUUAAGCUAGCUAUUAUAUUAAUGAGUAUUCCAAAUUUUAAACCAACUAUACAUACUUAGAGAAGGUAAAUUACUCUCAUUUCUUAAAUUUAUUCUUUGUUCUAGAAAAACUGACAUGAAAUGAGAAUUGCCAU